UUCGCCCUUAGAGUUUGAUCCUGGCUCAGGACGAACGCUGGCGGCGUGCCUAACACAUGCAAGUCGAACGGAGUUGAGCCCUUCGGGACUUAACUUAGUGGCGAACGGGUGAGUAACGCGUGAGGAACCUGCCUUUCAGUGGGGGACAACAGUUGGAAACGACUGCUAAUACCGCAUGAAGCUUUUGGGGGACAUCCCCUGGAAGCCAAAGCUUAAUGUGCUGAAAGAUGGCCUCGCGUCUGAUUAGCUAGUUGGUGGGGUGACGGCCCACCAAGGCGACGAUCAGUAGCCGGUCUGAGAGGAUGAACGGCCACAUUGGGACUGAGAUACGGCCCAGACUCCUACGGGAGGCAGCAGUGGGGAAUAUUGGGCAAUGGGCGAAAGCCUGACCCAGCAACGCCGCGUGAAGGAAGAAGGCUUUCGGGUUGUAAACUUCUUUUACCAGGGACGAAGGACGUGACGGUACCUGGAGAAAAAGCAACGGCUAACUACGUGCCAGCAGCCGCGGUAAUACGUAGGUUGCAAGCGUUGUCCGGAUUUACUGGGUGUAAAGGGCGUGUAGGCGGAGAUGCAAGUUAGGAGUGAAAUCUAUGGGCUCAACCCAUAAACUGCUUCUAAAACUGUAUCCCUUGAGUAUCGGAGAGGCAAGCGGAAUUCCUAGUGUAGCGGUGAAAUGCGUAGAUAUUAGGAGGAACACCAGUGGCGAAGGCGGCUUGCUGGACGACAACUGACGCUGAGGCGCGAAAGCGUGGGGAGCAAACAGGAUUAGAUACCCUGGUAGUCCACGCUGUAAACGAUGAAUACUAGGUGGGGGGGGGCUGACCCCCUCCGUUGCGCAGUUUACAAUAUUAGUUUUUCCCCUGGGGGAGUACGCCCGCAGGGUUGAAACUCAAAGGAAUGGCCGGGGGCCCGCCCAAGCAGUGGAUAAUUUGGUUUAUUUCGACGCACCGCGAGGACCCUUACCAGGACUGGCCAUCCAACUAACGAGGUAGAGAUACAUCAGGUGCCCUUCGGGGAAAGUUGAGACAGGUGGUGCAUGGUUGUCGUCAGCUCGUGUCGUGAGAUGUUGGGUUAAGUCCCGCAACGAGCGCAACCCUUGUCAUUAGUUGCUACGCAAGAGCACUCUAAUGAGACUGCCGUUGACAAAACGGAGGAAGGUGGGGACGACGUCAAAUCAUCAUGCCCCUUAUGACCUGGGCUACACACGUACUACAAUGGCCGUAAACAGAGGGAAGCAAGAGAGCGAUCUGGAGCAAACCCCCAAAAGCGGUCUCAGUUCGGAUUGCAGGCUGAAACUCGCCUGUAUGAAGUUGGAAUUGCUAGUAAUCGCAGAUCAGCAUGCUGCGGUGAAUACGUUCCCGGGCCUU
rnacentral:rRNA from 1 species